CGGGGGGGGCAAGCGUUGUUCGGAAUUACUGGGCGUAAAGGGUGCGUAGGCGGCUUUCUAAGUUGGAUGUGAAAACUCUGGGCUCAACCCAGAGCCUGCAUCCAAAACUGGAGAGCUUGGGUUCUGGAGGGGAAAGCGGAAUUCCUGGUGUAGCGGUGAAAUGCGUAGAUAUCAGGAGGAACACCGGUGGCGAAGGCGGCUUUCUGGACAGAUACCGACGCUGAGGCACGAAAGCUAGGGGAGCAAACAGGAUUAGAUACCCUGGUAGUCCUAGCCCUAAACGAUGGAUACUUGCUGUGAGGGGGAUUGAAACCCUUUGUGGCGAAGCUAACGCAUUAAGUAUCCCGCCUGGGGAGUACGGUCGCAAGGCUG
rnacentral:rRNA from 1 species